UGGCGCACGGGUGCGUAACACGUAGCAUCUACUUUGGGUCUGGAAUAACUUCGAGAAAUCGAGGCUAAUACCGGAUAAUGCAGCGGCACCGCAUGGUGAUGUUGUUAAAGUUUAAGUAAUGCCUAUAGAUGAGCUUGCGCCUGAUUAGCUAGUUGGUAGGGUAAGGGCCUACCAAGGCUACGAUCAGUAGCUGGUCUGAGAGGAUGAUCAGCCACACUGGAACUGAGACACGGUCCAGAACUCCAUACGGGAGGCAGCAGUGAGGAAUAUUGGGCAAUGCCCGCAAGGGUGACCCAGCAACGCCGCGUGGAGGAUGAAGGCCGUAAGGUUGUAAACUCCUGUUAGAGGAGAAGAACAGUACCGAUUGGAUCGGUAUUUUGGACUUGUUACCCCUUCCAGGAGGAAAAAGGCCCCCGGGGUUUAAACUUUAACGUUGGCCCAAGGCAGCCGGGCGGGGUAAAUUAACGUUAAGGGGGGGCACAAGCGCGGUUUGGUCCCGGGGAUUUUUACCUGGGGGUUGUUAAAGGGGGGCGCCGCCAAGGGGGGGGGAUUAUUCAAGUUCCAAGGGUGGAAAUUCCCUUAAAGGGUUUUAAAUUUGGG
rnacentral:rRNA from 1 species